rnacentral:misc_RNA from 1 species
GAAAACAGUUUCGGCACGCACAGGCCUCAGGAGAGUGAGGAGAGCGGCUUGGGUUUUGUAACUUCCCUCCCCCCUCCUUCUCCUUCUCCUUCUCAUUCACCUUCCCCCUCAAUUCAGCCUAAAACAUGGCGUCAGCACCAUCAUCCUUAAUAGACCCGUCCACCGCAACCCCACCAUCCCUCAAGCCCAAGCUCCAUCAACCUUCCCUUGCUCCUACCACCCCCUCUUCCCUCAAGCCCGAGUUUCCGACGCCCUCCACUGCUACUCACCGUCCACCGCUAGUGCCCCCCUCUUCUGACGCUGACAUUGUCCACAUCCCUAGCUACUCCAGGUGGUUUUCGUGGAACAAUAUUCACGAAUGCGAGGUCCGAUUCCUCCCUGAAUUCUUCGAUUCGCGGUCUCCUUCUAAGAACCCUAGGGUUUACAUGUACUACAGGAACUCCAUCAUCAAGUAUUUUAGGCGGAAUCCUUCUGGCAAGAUCACCUUCACGGAGGUCAGGAAAACGCUUGUGGGUGACGUGGGCUCCAUUCGCAGGGUUUUCGACUUCCUGGAGGCUUGGGGUUUGAUUAACUAUUCGCCUUCCGCUUUAAACAAGCCCUUGAAGUGGGAAGACAAGGACAGUAAGUCUACUUCGCAGAGUGGUGCUGAUGGUGGCACUUCUGCUGAUUCUACUCCUCCCAAGAGGGACACUUCCAAGAGAUUGUGUAGUGGUUGCCAAUCUGUUUGCACCAUUGCUUGCUUUGUUUGUGACAAGUAUGACUUGACCCUAUGCGCCCGAUGCUAUGUGCGUGGUAACUAUCGCGUUGGUGUCAGUUCUUCCGAUUUCAGGAGGGUUGAGAUCAGCGAAGAGAUAAGGACGGAGUGGACAGAGAAGGAGACAUUGCAACUUUUGGAAGCCGUUGCACAUUAUGGUGAUGACUGGAAGAAGGUUGCACUACAUGUUCCUGGUAGAAGUGAAAAGGACUGUGUUUCUCAUUUCAUCAAGCUUCCUUUUGGGGAAGAAUUUGCGGGUUAUGCAAACUUGGGAGAACUUGAUAACAAGCAUCACAAAAUAAAGGACUGCACUUAUUCGGAGUGCGGAUCAGAGAGUAUUGGCUCCCCGUCUGCAAAUAAAAGGAUGCAUCUCACGCCUCUUGCAGAUGCAAGCAAUCCAAUAAUGGCCCAGGCUGCAUUUCUAUCAGCUCUAGUGGGUACAGAGGUUGCAGAAGCUGCUGCUCAAGCAGCUGUAGCAGCUCUGACUGAGGUUGAAUAUGUGACCAGUAAAGGUGGUGUUGGAUCUCUUUUCAGUAAUGCAAGACAACAAGGUAUAAUUGGCUUCUUGCUACGUAUUGAAUAGGAACACUGAUCCAGAACAAAUUUGUGCAAUUUGUCUAGCUGGGUUUUGAUCAGUUGAGAUUUGGGAUUUCUCCUUGAAGAACGAAGGCAUAUUGAGGAGUAUUGGGAAAAUUGCGAGAUAAAGUUCUCUCCCAUCUUUUUUUAUUUUUUUGUUCCAAGGGGUGGUUUUAGUAUAUAUUUUCAUAUGAUCCCUCUGUAAGAGGUGCUGCAGUAAGUCUUUAGUGAUGGAUCUAAUGUAAAUGAAUUUGGCUUUUGCUUGGUGCAGGUGCUGGUGUUGGAUCUAAUGUAAAUGCAUUGGAAAGAGCUUCCUUGGAUGCUAAUCCACUGCCUGAGAAGGAACAGCAAGAUGCGGAGAAAGCAAUUUCCAGGAUUAUAGAAGUGCAGAUGAAAGAGAUCCAAGAUAAGAUUGUUCGUUUUGAGGAGAUGGAUUUGUUGAUGGAGAAAGAGUGGCAACAGUUGGAGCAAAUAAAAAAUCUGCUCUUUGUGGAUCAGCUCAGCCUUUUGUUUCAUAAAAAAUCAACACCAAAAACUGGGGAACGUAUGGAGGACAAUGUAAGAACAGAUUGAUGUUAUAUGUGUUAACACAUAUGAUCAAAUGCCAAAUUUGUUUCUUUUUGUGGUCUCUGCACUUGCUUUUGCUGUGGUGUUCUCAAUUUGAAUCAAUCUAAUAAUAUGUAGCAGUGAGGAAGCCCUUAAUUUUGGAGAAAGCGCUGGAGUUGGCAAAAUCUUGUUUUCUCUAUAUUUCGUGGCAAAUAGAAGUGAUCAGUCCCAUUCCAUAUGUAACACUAGCAUUUGUAAAGUUGCAGGGAAUUAAGGAUAGGCAAAUUGGGGUCGUCAAAAUUCAAAAGUCUGAUACAAUAUCUUCACCAUUCAUAACGUCAUUGCUGUUGCUGUACUCAACUGCUCAAUUCCUUCGAAAGUGUGAUUCAAAAAAUGUAUGUACUUUUCACGGGAAGGAAG